CACCGUUUACUAGAAAAUCAGUAUCCUACUCGGAUAACUGUGGCAAUUCUAGAGCUAAUACGUGCGAAAAAGCUCGUUUCGCAAGAUUCGAGCGCAUUUAUUAGAAUAAAAACCAAUCGGGCCCAUAAAGCCCGUAAUUUGGUGAAUCUGAAUAACUUUGCCGAUCGCACGGUCCUAGUACCGGCGACGUAUCUUUCAAGUGUCUGCCUUAUCAACUUUCGAUGGUAGGUUAUACGCCUACCAUGGUAGUAACGGGUAACGGAGAAUAAGGGUUCGACUCCGGAGAGGGAGCCUGAGAAACGGCUACCACAUCCAAGGAAGGCAGCAGGCGCGCAAAUUACCCACUUCCAGAACGGAGAGGUAGUGACGAAAAAUAACGAGACAGUCCUCUUCGAGGUCUGUCAUCGGAAUGGGUACAAUUUAAAUCCUUUAACGAGGAUCUAUUGGAGGGCAAGUCUGGUGCCAGCAGCCGCGGUAAUUCCAGCUCCAAUAGCGUAUAUUAAAGUUGUUGCGGUUAAAACGCUCGUAGUUGGAUCUGCGGCCUCGGAGAACGGUCCCCCGAAAGGGCGGUCACUGUUACUCCAAGCCUAAAUAUCUAGUCUACUCUACGGUGCUCUUAACCGAGUGCCUAGAGUGACUGGAACGUUUACUUUGAAAAAAUUAGAGUGCUUAAAGCAGGCGAAAUAGCCUGAAUAAGGUGCAUGGAAUAAUGGAAUAGGACCUCGGUUCUAUUUUGUUGGUUUUCGGAGCCCGAGGUAAUGAUUAAGAGGAACAGACGGGGGCAUUCGUAUUCCGACGCUAGAGGUGAAAUUCUUGGACCGCCGGAAGACGGACGACUGCGAAAGCAUUUGCCAAGAAUGUUUUCAUUAAUCAAGAACGAAAGUUAGAGGUUCGAA
rnacentral:rRNA from 1 species